UCGGGAAUUUUGGGCAAUGGGCGAAAGCCUGACCCAGCAACGCCGCGUGAGGGAUGAAGUAUUUCGGUAUGUAAACCUCGAAAGAAUGGGAAGAAUAAAUGACGGUACCAUUUAUAAGCUCCGGCUAACUACGUGCCAGCAGCCGCGGUAAUACGUAGGGCGCAAGCGUUGUUCGGAUUUACUGGGCGUAACGGGCGCGUAGGCGGCGCGGUAAGUCACUUGUGAAAUCUCUGAGCUUAACUCAGAACGGCCAAGUGAUACUGCUGUGCUAGAGUGCGGAAGAGNCAACCGGAAUUCUUGGUGUAGCGGUGAAAUGCGUAGAUAUCAAGAGGAACACCUGAGGCGAAGGCGGGUUGCUGGGCCGACACUGACGCUGAUGCGCGAAAGCCAGGGGAGCAAACG
rnacentral:rRNA from 1 species